CCUACGGGAGGCUGCAGUGGGGAAUAUUGCACAAUGGGGGGAACCCUGAUGCAGCGACGCCGCGUGAGUGAAGACGUAUUUCGGUAUGUAAAGCUCUAUCAGCAGGAACGAGACAAGACGGUACCUGACUAAGAAGCCCCGGCUAACUACGUACCAGCAGCCGCGGUACUACGGAGGGGCCAAGCGUGAUCCGGAAUCACUGGGUGUAAAGGGAGCGUAGGCGGGUGAGCAAGCCUGAAGUGAAAGGCGGGGGCUCAACCCCCGGACUGCUUUGGGAACUGGACGGCUGGAGUGCAGGAGAGGUAAGUGGAAUUCCUGGUGUAGCGGUGAAAUGCGUAGAUAUUAGGAGGAACCCCAGUGGCGAAGGCGGCUUACUGGACUGUAACUGACGUUGAGGCUCGAAAGCGUGGGGAGCAAACAGGAUUAGAUACCCGAGUAGUC
rnacentral:rRNA from 1 species